rnacentral:rRNA from 1 species
AGAGUUUGAUCAUGGCUCAGGACGAACGCUGGCGGCGUGCUUAACACAUGCAAGUCGAGCGGAAAGGCCACUUCGGUGGUACUCGAGCGGCGAACGGGUGAGUAACACGUGAGUAAUCUGCCCUUCACUUGGGGAUAACCACCGGAAACGGUGGCUAAUACCCGAUACGACACGUCUCUGCAUGGAGUGCGUGUGGAAAGUUUUUUCGGUGGAGGAUGUGCUCGCGGCCUAUCAGCUUGUUGGUGGGGUAAUGGCCUACCAAGGCUUCGACGGGUAGCCGGCCUGAGAGGGUGACCGGCCACACUGGGACUGAGACACGGCCCAGACUCCUACGGGAGGCAGCAGUGGGGAAUAUUGGACAAUGGGCGGAAGCCUGAUCCAGCAACGCCGCGUGAGGGAUGACGGCCUUCGGGUUGUAAACCUCUUUCAGUACCGACGAAGCGAGAGUGACGGUAGGUACAGAAGAAGCACCGGCCCAACUACGUGCCAGCAGCCGCGGUA